UUGAUAAAUUUUCAAUAAUUUUUGUAGCUUUCGUUGGUAGUUUCAAACUAAAUCUUUUUCCCGUGAUACUAGUGGAAUAUGCAGUACGACAUUAUGCCUGGUCUGUACCGGUACUAAUUGAUGUGUGCAAUGGAUUAAAAACAUUUUCACAAACCCGUAUGAACGAUUUUCAAUGUGCAAAAAAGGAUGUCGCCUAUAAUGUGUACAUAAAAUCUGGGAAACGAAUAUUUUGGUAACAUGAUGACUGAUGCAGGGCAGCAAAAGUAUCAAUUUAGACGAAACAGCUAAAAUCAUAAUUUGAAUUGAAUUAUUCCAAAUCACAUUAGCUUUACGAUUGAUUGAUUUGUAAUAGCUAUUCCAUAUAAUUGAAAUGGAUAUAGCUUGCUCAAUAUGCGGUUCAUACUUUAAGCAGGUGGAGAUUUAUAAAAAUCAUAUUAAAACAAAUCGCUGUACUUAAACAUCACUUUGAACGUGCAACUGGGAUAAAUCACACACGCUUUAUUGACAAUUAUUUUUCUAAGCGGAAAAGACUCAUUCAAGUUUCGAGAACGUACAUCUAUAAAAAAAACUGCACAUUAACGACUGCGACAGACUUGUAAAUUUUUGUUGGCGUUUCAAAAAUAUUGAAGGAAGAUUUUUCUACAGUCUUGAUCAGUUUUGGUAAUGAUGCUACCAUCUUGGAUACAACUACUACGUCUCCUAUUCUCGCAUUAGUUGAUAUGAAAUAUAGUACGUCAAAAGUCGAAUAUUCUAACUUUCGAAAUUCUGUUACAGGUCGCGAUAUGUACUACAAAUAUCCAGCUGUAGUUUCAAAAACUCUAGAGUUUUUUCAGUUAUUUUCACUGAAACUUAAGCCUGAUAAAGGCACCAGAUCAGUUGCAACAAUAGUAGGUAAACAACAACAACUGGUUCGAACACUUUUAACCAAACUAGCUAAAAUUCAAUAGAUUUUUUCUUUUACUUGUAUUCAAACCAAAACUUGCCAUUUAUAAUGGGACGUGGGACGUUUUUGUUAACAUAAUUAAAAAAGUCUUCGUCGGUCGACUUUUCUUCAACGCAACGUCAAAAAUGUUUAAUUCUACUACUUUAUAUCAGAAGACGAAAUCGUUUCAGUAAGUAACUAGAAUGUCAAAGCUUUUCUUUAACAAAAGAAUUAAAU